AACGAACGCUGGCGGCAGGCUCAACACAUGCAAGUCGAACGGUCUCUUCGGAGGCAGUGGCAGACGGGUGAGUAACGCGUGGGAAUCUACCUAGUUCUACGGAACAACAGUUGGAAACGACUGCUAAUACCGUAUACGCCCUACGGGGGAAAGAUUUAUCGGAAUUAGAUGAGCCCGCGUAAGAUUAGCUAGUUGGUGGGGUAAUGGCCUACCAAGGCGACGAUCUUUAGCUGGUCUGAGAGGAUGAUCAGCCACACUGGGACUGAGACACGGCCCAAACUCCUACGGGAGGCAGCAGUGGGGAAUAUUGGACAAUGGGCGCAAGCCUGAUCCAGCCAUGCCGCGUGAGUGAUGAAGGCCUUAGGGUUGUAAAGUUCUUUCACCGGAGAAGAUAAUGACGGUAUCCGGAGAAGAAGCCCCGGCUAACUUCGUGCCAGCAGCCGCCGUAAAAC
rnacentral:rRNA from 1 species